GAUGAACGCUAGCUACAGGCUUAACACAUGUAAGUCGAGGGGAAACGAUAUUGGAAGCUUGCUUCCGAUAGGCGUCGACCGGCGCACGGGUGAGUAACGCGUAUCCAACCUGCCCAUCACUUGGGGAUAACCUUGCGAAAGUAAGACUAAUACCCAAUGACGUCUCUAGAAGACAUCUGAAGGAGAUUAAAGAUUUAUCGGUGAUGGAUGGGGAUGCGUCUGAUUAGCUUGUUGGCGGGGUAACGGCCCACCAAGGCGACGAUCAGUAGGGGUUCUGAGAGGAAGGUCCCCCACAUUGGAACUGAGACACGGUCCAAAACUCCUACGGGAGGCAGCAGUGAGGAAUAUUGGUCAAUGGGCGAGAGCCUGAACCAGCCAAGUAGCGUGCAGGAUGACGGCCCUAUGGGUUGUAAACUGCUUUUAUAAAGGAAUAAAGUGAGUCUCGUGAGACUUUUUGCAUGUACCUUAUGAAUAAGGACCGGCUAAUUCCGUGCCAGCAGCCG
rnacentral:rRNA from 1 species